rnacentral:tRNA from 1 species
GCCGGAUUAGCUCAGCUGGUAGAGCGGCUGAUUUGUAAUCAGUAGGUCGGGGGUUCGAGUCCCUCAUCCGGCACCA